UACGUAGGGUGCAAGCGUUGUCCGGAAUUAUUGGGCCUAAAGCAUCCGUAGCCGGUUCUACAAGUCUUCCGUUAAAUCCACCUGCUCAACAGUUGGGCUGCGGAGGAUACUAUAGAGCUAGGAGGCGGGAGAGGCAAGCGGUACUUAGUGGGUAGGGGUAAAAUCCGUUGAUCCAUUGAAGACCACCAGUGGCGAAGGCGGCUUGCCAGAACGCACUCGACGGUGAGGGAUGAAAGCUGGGGGAGCAAACCGG
rnacentral:rRNA from 1 species